CCUACGGGAGGCAGCAGUGGGGAAUAUUGCACAAUGGGGGAAACCCUGAUGCAGCCAUGCCGCGUGUGUGAAGAAGGCCUUCGGGUUGUAAAGCACUUUCAGUUGUGAGGAAAGUUUAGUAGUUAGUACCUGCUAGAUGUGACGUUAGCAACAGAAGAAGCACCGGCUAACUCCGUGCCAGCAGCCGCGGUAAUACGGAGGGUGCGAGCGUUAAUCGGAAUUACUGGGCGUAAAGCGCACGCAGGCGGUCUGUUAAGCUAGAUGUGAAAGCCCCGCGCUCAACGUGGGAGGGUCAUUUAGAACUGGCAGACUAGAGUCUUGGAGAGGGGAGUGGAAUUCCAGGUGUAGCGGUGAAAUGCGUAGAGAUCUGGAGGAACAUCAAUGGCGAAGGCAACUCCCUGGCCAAAGACUGACGCUCAUGUGCGAAAGUGUGGGUAGCGAACAGGAUUAGAUACCCUGGUAGUCCACACCGUAAACGCUGUCUACUAGCUGUUUGUGAAUUUAAUUCGUGAGUAGCGAAGCUAACGCGAUAAGUAGACCGCCUGGGGAGUACGGCCGCAAGGUUAAAACUCAAAGGAAUUGACGGA
rnacentral:rRNA from 1 species